AUUGAACGCUGGCGGCAGGCCUAACACAUGCAAGUCGAGCGGAUGAAGGGAGCUUGCUCCUGGAUUCAGCGGCGGACGGGUGAGUAAUGCCUAGGAAUCUGCCUGGUAGUGGGGGAUAACGUCCGGAAACGGGCGCUAAUACCGCAUACGUCCUGAGGGAGAAAGUGGGGGAUCUUCGGACCUCACGCUAUCAGAUGAGCCUAGGUCGGAUUAGCUAGUUGGUGGGGUAAAGGCCUACCAAGGCGACGAUCCGUAACUGGUCUGAGAGGAUGAUCAGUCACACUGGAACUGAGACACGGUCCAGACUCCUACGGGAGGCAGCAGUGGGGAAUAUUGGGCAAUGGGCGAAAGCCUGAUCCAGCCAUGCCGCGUGUGUGAAGAAGGUCUUCGGAUUGUAAAGCACUUUAAGUUGGGAAGAAGGGCAGUAAGUUAAUACCUUGCUGUUUUGACGUUACCAACAGAAUAAGCACCGGCUAACUUCGUG
rnacentral:rRNA from 1 species